AUAGCUAAUAAUCCAUCAAGACUCACAUGCUCAUAGGGCCGGAGCAGGAGACGCUAACUUCCUGGCUCCCGCACUCCCCAGGCGCACCACAUUUCAGCACGACGGACAGCGCAGCACUGGGGCGCGACUGGGGAGGCGGGGACCAAUACCACGCUGUUUCAGCCCGGCUUUUUCAAAUCUCUCGGGUCUCCGCCCUCAUUUCCGUGCAUUUUCGAAACGACUCUCACAGCAACCGAAGCCACAAAAACACAUUCACAGAAAACGGGGAAGCUCCAGGGUUCGCUUACCGUCUGACAAGUCAAUCAGUCCGAGGCAAUUUCUCCAAAGGUUUAACCAGUCCCUAAUCUUCUGCUAGCUGAGUGUAACCAUCACUGGCAACAUCUCAUGGCAUAUUCUCUCGGCAGCUCAGAGAAAACGUGUGUCAGUGUAGACCAUUUCAAAGACAUACAGAAAGAGCCCCAUUGCUUUAGAUCGCAGAUAGAUGGAGAGAUGAAAGAUACUUUUUCAAAGGGACAACAAUUUGUCUUUACUUCCCAGUGAAAAACCCAACAAGCUGGUCUGGAACAUAUGUGGUCCCUGCUUUGACACAGUGAAAUGUCCCUGGAAACUGUACCACCAGGAAAGCUAUGGAAAUCAGCAAGGCAGUUGCUAAACAUUUGUCAGCUUGAAAUCAGCCAUGGUAGGGUGUUGACACCACAGAAAUGCUACACAUCAGUGUUUCUUCACCCUCCCCACUGUCUCUGAAUUACCAGGAUGCCACGCUACCAUUCCAGAUCCCAUCUGCCCAGAAGAAAACCUGAGAAAUUCACCUGCCCAGAGGUUUUUCUGACUUACUGUGUUUCCUCUCCUCUGGGGCCCUAGCAAGUGUAAUAAUUAACCCACUGGGCUUAAUGGGAUUUUAGGCAUUCACAUAUCCAGAUAUGCGGAACUAAAUUAGACGCAGGAAGACUUCCAUGUUUCUGGAAAGAAUGAUGCAAGAAGGCAGAGUAGUGGUUCCCACUGUCUGCUUUGCUGUUACUGUGUAAAGACUUACAUUCUUCCAAGAAUUCUGACUUCACAGACAGCUCCCCUUCUGGAUUGUCUCCUAACCUUGAACUUUAGGAGCAACUGUGUCUCAGGUCCAUUUGCCUUAAAGAAACAAAGGUUUGAUUAUUUGUGAAAAGGUUUCUCUAGCUCCAUGGAGACUGGAGAGGAAGGAGGCAAGACAACUGGAGAGAAGCUUCCUGGUUUUCCCCUGGCAUUUUAGAAAACCCUCAGAACAAUCAUUCCAAGCAUCCUGGGAGAUCAAUUUUGGGAGGAUCUUGAACCCUGCUUCCAGGAUUCCAUGUCCUUUGGGAUAAAUUUCAGAACCUACUCUCCCAAAAUGUCAGCCUGCAGGGCCCAUUCUUCAUUCUCCAUCACAUCAGCAUCCCCCUCCCCUACUAGGGUUCCAAGCUGACAGGUGCAGAUGUAGGUCUCUCUGCUUAAAACAGGCUGGAGAACGGGAGUUGAUGCCUCCCGGCAGGGAGGAAUAAUGAGCACAUUCAUUAAUGACUGCACCAUGUUCCUGUGGAUUGUCAGCACCAAUCAUUUGUUGCUUUGAACAAAAUGUAACUGUUGUCAAUGGAAAGCCAUUUGCAAAUAAAGCCAGUGAGUAAUGAUAUUUAGAUAUCCAU